UACGGAGGGUGCAAGCGUUAUCCGGAUUUACUGGGUUUAAAGGGUGCGUAGGUGGGUCUGUAAGUCAGUUGGUGAAAUCUCCGAGCUUAACUCGGAAACUGCCAUUGAUACUAUAGAUCUUGAAUUAUCUGGAGGUGAGCGGAAUAUGUCAUGUAACGGUGAAAUGCUUAGAUAUGACAUAGAACACCAAUUGCGAAGGCAGCUCACUACGGAUACAUUGACACUGAGGCACGAAAGCGUGGGGAUCAAACAGG
rnacentral:rRNA from 1 species